rnacentral:lncRNA from 1 species
UAACAAAGAGAAAAAGCCAGCCUAACCAGGUCAAAGAUGCAGGGGAAAUAACUCAGUACCAGGGGAGCAGCUGAGUAUUUGAAAAGGAAAUCCUGUAAGCAGGAGUACUACAGAAGGGGUGAGAGCCAAAAUUUGCAUGUUAAGUUCUGCAGAAAUCUCCAACUGGCCAGUAAAUUACAAAUGUGCAAAGAAGAGCCCUGUGUGUCUGGUAAAUAUAGACCAAAAAGUCAUAUAGUCCUGAAAGACAGAUUCACCAGGGAUUCCAUCUGUUGAUCUGAUGAUGGUUUUUCACUUGAGAGUUUCUCAGGGUGUCCUGGUUCUUUGUAAGCCACUUUUGCUGCUGCACAGUUAUGCACAAUUCGGGCUGCCAUUAAAGCAAAGAGUAGCUCCUUUCCUGUUCCUCUGGCCGGAAAGACCAUUUCUGAAAUUUGCUGCCUGAACCAAUUGCCCAGAAGCUGGAGCUGCCCUUGGACCAAAGCACAAAGAAAAAAGAGGAGAUAAUUAAUUGGGAAACUCACCCAAUAAAGAUUGUUUAUCAAGUUUGGUCUUUACCAAUUCAUUUAUUAAUUUUCAGAGUAGUUGCUUGUUUAUUUUGGGUAUUUUAUCCAGGGUGUUUGGUUGUGGUCAAUGGGAAAGAUAGAUAUAGUGUUCUUAUUCUAUUUUGUUCACUGCCAGAGUCUGUGGGUAAUUUUG